AGAUUGAACGCUGGCGGCAUGCCUUACACAUGCAAGUCGAACGGCAGCACGGGAGCAAUCCUGGUGGCGAGUGGCGAACGGGUGAGUAAUAUAUCGGAACGUGCCCAGUCGUGGGGGAUAACGCAGCGAAAGCUGUGCUAAUACCGCAUACGAUCUAUGGAUGAAAGCGGGGGAUCGCAAGACCUCGCGCGAUUGGAGCGGCCGAUAUCAGAUUAGCUAGGUUGGUAGGGUAAAAGCCUACCGAAGGCGACGAUCUGUAGCUGGUCUGAGAGGACGACCAGCCACACUGGAACUGAGACACGGUCCAGACCUCCGUACGGGAGCAGCGAGGUGGGGAAUUUUGGACAAGUGGGCGCGAAGCCUAGAUACCAGCAAGUCGCCGCGUGCGAGAUGGAACGUCCGUUCGGUUAGUAAACGUGUCGUUUUACGGUACGGUAACGUAACGGUUCUACUACUAAGUACGAGGGUACUAAGU
rnacentral:rRNA from 1 species